AAAGAUGGGAUCCAAAAGAAUUAAAAUAGAAUAAUAAAAUUAAUAAAAUAAUAAAAAUUAAUGGAGGGAAAACCCGGCCAGAUUGUGGCCGGUUAAUUUGUGUUAGUUGAGUCUGCUGGUCCGCGCAGGUAAUGCAAAAUAGGCCGCAGGUUAGGCCUGCGUGCUACGUGGGGUUGCUGCGAGGCGUGGGCUUGGGCCACACGCGUGUGCCCUUGCUAGGUAGGGGCCGGAUGGCUA
rnacentral:lncRNA from 1 species